GACGAACGCUGGCGGCGUGCUUAACACAUGCAAGUCGAACGCUGAAGCUCAGCUUUUGUUGGGUGGAUGAGUGGCGAACGGGUGAGUAACACGUGAGUAACCUGCCUCCUUCUUUGGGAUAACGCCCGGAAACGGGUGCUAAUACUGGAUAUUCACUGGUCUUCGCAUGGGGGUUGGUGGAAAGGGUUUUUCUGGUGGGGGAUGGGCUCGCGGCCUAUCAGCUUGUUGGUGGGGUGAUGGCCUACCAAGGCUUUGACGGGUAGCCGGCCUGAGAGGGUGACCGGUCACAUUGGGACUGAGAUACGGCCCAGACUACUACGGGAGGCAGCAGUGGGGAAUAUUGCACAAUGGGCGCAAGCCUGAUGCAGCGACGCCGCGUGAGGGAUGGAGGCCUUCGGGUUGUGAACCUCUUUCGCUCAUGGUCAAGCCGCAACAAUGGUUGUGGUGAGGGUAGUGGGUAAAGAAGCGCCGGCUAACUACGUG
rnacentral:rRNA from 1 species